UUGUAAUCGGAAUGAGUACAAUUUAAACCCCUUAACGAGGAACAAUUGGAGGGCAAGUCUGGUGCCAGCAGCCGCGGUAAUUCCAGCUCCAAUAGCGUAUAUUAAAGUUGUUGCAGUUAAAAAGCUCGUAGUUGAACCUUGGGCCUGGCUGGCCGGUCCGCCUCACCGCGUGUACUGGUCCGGCCGGGCCUUUCCUUCUGGAGAGCCGCAUGCCCUUCACUGGGUGUGCCGGGGAACCAGGACUUUUACUUUGAAAAAAUUAGAGUGUUCAAAGCAGGCCUUUGCUCGAAUACGUUAGCAUGGAAUAAUAGAAUAGGACGUGCGAUCCUAUUUUGUUGGUUUCUAGGACCGCCGUAAUGAUUAAUAGGGAUAGUCGGGGGCAUCAGUAUUCAAUUGUCAGAGGUGAAAUUCUUGGAUUUAUUGAAGACUAACUACUGCGAAAGCAUUUGCCAAGGAUGUUUUCAUUAAUCAGUGAACGAAAGUUAGGGGAUCGAAGACGAUCAGAUACCGUCGUAGUCUUAACCGUAAACUAUGCCGACUAGGGAUCGGGCGAUGUUUUCAUCUUGACUCGCUCGGCACCUUACGAGAAAUCAAAGUUUUUGGGUUCUGGGGGGAGUAUGGUCGCAAGGCUGAAACUUAAAGAAAU
rnacentral:rRNA from 1 species